GCCGAGUGGAACAACAUGACACUUUUAUUAAAGGUUCAAGUGACUAUCCUUUACAUUUCCUUGAACAGAGUGACUAAUCUUCAUUUUUGCCGGUGGUUUUGCCGUAGUCUUCAUCACCAAGUUCUGAACUUGUACAGGAGCUUCUGUUCCUCCAGUCAGGUUCCCCAUAAUGGAGAUAGCAAAAGAGAUAAGAAAAGUUUUUAGCAUAGUGGAGUGGCAUGAAAAAUUCAAGUGCAUUGCCUUUAGAUUUUUCUUUCAAUUUACCAAAGUGACUACCCUUAGUUUUGCCCUAGUGUUUAGAGAAAAGGUCUAGUCCUGAACUUGUACAGGAGUGUGUUUACCUCAAGACAGGGACACUGUGAUUAAGGUAGCAAGAGAAAUAAGAAAAGACAAAACCGUUUAGCCGAGUGGAACAACAUGGCGAUUUUAUUAAAGGUUCAACUGACUAUCCUUUAGAGUUCCUUGAACAGCAAGACUAACCUUUAUUUUUAUUAAAGGUUCAGGUGACUAGCCUUUAGAUUUCCUUGUUCUUGAACAGCGAGACUAAACUUUAGUUGUGCUGCUGGUUUUGCGGUAGUCUUUACCACCGAGGUAGAGACCUGAACUUCUACAGGAGCGUCUGUGUCUCAAGUCAUGUUCACCAUGAUUAAGGUAGCAAGAGGGAGAACAAGAACAAACUGUUUAGCGUAGGGGAACAACAUUACAUAAAAAAAAAAAAAGUUUAAAUGACUAUCCUUUGGAUUUACAUUAACAGAAUGACUAACUUUUAUUUUUGGUGUAGUCUUCAUCACCGAGUCCUGAACUUCUACAGGAGCGUGUUUACCUCCAGUCAGGUUCCCCAUAAUGGAGAGAGCAGAAGAGGUAAAAAGAAAAAAAGAAAAAAGACAAAUAAGUGUGAGUCAUAGUAGAGCACCAAGACUGUUCUAAAAGUUCAGGUUCCUAGAUUUUAGAUUUGGACAAUAAGUUUGUCAUUGUGUCUAGACUUUAGUUUUUUCACUGCUUUCACUAUAGUGUUUACCUCAGAGGUCAAGUCCUGACUGGUCACCUGAACUUGUAUAGGAGCUUAUUUCCCUCGACAGGUACACCAUGAUUGAGGUGGCAAGGGAGGAAUAAAAAGACACAAGUUUUUAAUAUAUUGGAGCAGAAUAACAUACAGUUGUAGUGCAUUGCCUUUAGAUUUUUC
ensembl:lncRNA